AAUGGGGCACAUCUGGAUUGUCCUUAACCUGGAAUGAACUCGGGCACUGGGCAGAAAGUACGAGCCUGGAGGUUCCCGCUGUUGGCUUGGCUGGGCCAGGCGGGUUGUGCUGUUCCCGGUCGGCCGCUCGGAGGGAAGCCCUCUGUCCUAGGAGUGGGGGCUCUCUGGUUUGGAUGUCAGCAGCUUUUUAUUGAUGAAGAACCACUUGUUAUCACCAAUGUGCACAUGAAAUGGAAAGGGAACAGAUUCUGGAAAACAACUUCUGUUACAGCCUUGCAAGAUACUACCUGAAGUGUGUAAAGAAGUUUAAGUGACUGCUCUGCUUGAUCAAAAUGGUGGACACUGAAAACCAGCUCUAUCCCCUUACUCCCUUGGAGGAGGAGGAUAUAGACAGCCCUUUGUCUGGAGAGUUCCUACAAGAUAUGGAGAACAUUCAAGACCUCUCCCAGUCUCUAGGUGAUGAUAGUUCUGGUGCUUUAAGCUUAACAGAGUUCCAGUCACUGGGAAAUGGUCCAGGAUCUGAUGGCUCAGUCAUAACAGACACCCUUUCACCAGCAUCCAGUCCUUCAUCCAUUAAUUUUGCCACAGCUCCAGGUAGCAUAGAUGAAUCAUCCAGUGGAGCAUUAAACAUUGAAUGUAGAAUUUGUGGGGAUAAAGCCUCAGGCUACCAUUAUGGAGUACAUGCUUGUGAAGGCUGUAAGGGCUUUUUUAGAAGAACAAUUCGUUUAAAACUCGUCUAUGAUAAAUGUGAUCGCAACUGCAAAAUUCAGAAAAAAAACCGUAAUAAGUGCCAGUACUGUCGUUUUCAAAAGUGCCUUUCAGUUGGAAUGUCACAUAAUGCAAUACGUUUUGGAAGAAUGCCAAGGUCUGAGAAGGCCAAGCUGAAAGCAGAAAUUCUAACAGGUGAAAAUUACGUAGAAGAUUCAGAAAUGGCAGAUCUUAAAUCACUUGCCAAAAGAAUUCAUGAUGCUUACCUGAAAAACUUCAAUAUGAACAAGGUUAAAGCCAGAAUCAUCCUUGCAGGGAAAACCAAUAACAAUCCGCCAUUUGUUAUCCAUGAUAUGGAUACCUUAUGUAUGGCAGAGAAGACCCUGGUGGCAAAAUUGGUAGCCAAUGGGAUUCAGAACAAGGAAGCAGAAGUUCGAAUCUUCCACUGCUGCCAGUGCACGUCUGUAGAGACCGUCACCGAACUCACUGAGUUUGCCAAAUCCAUCCCUGGCUUCUCCAGCCUGGACUUGAACGAUCAAGUGACGCUAUUAAAAUACGGGGUUUAUGAGGCCAUAUUUGCCAUGUUGGCCUCUGUGAUGAACAAGGACGGGAUGCUGGUGGCCUAUGGGAAUGGUUUUAUAACCCGGGAGUUCCUGAAAAGCCUGAGAAAGCCAUUCUGUGAUAUAAUGGAGCCAAAAUUUGAUUUUGCAAUGAAAUUCAAUGCACUGGAUUUGGAUGACAGCGAUAUAUCCCUUUUUGUUGCUGCCAUCAUUUGCUGUGGAGAUCGUCCCGGUCUCGUAAAUGUAGGACACAUUGAAAAAAUGCAGGAGAGCAUUGUGCACGUACUGAAACUUCACUUGCAGACCAACCAUCCUGAUGACACCUUCCUCUUCCCAAAACUUCUCCAGAAAAUGGCUGACCUCCGACAGCUUGUCACAGAGCACGCUCAGCUCGUUCAGAUAAUCAAGAAGACUGAAUCUGAUGCACAUUUACACCCUUUACUACAGGAAAUCUACAGGGAUAUGUAUUAAGGAUUUUUAGUAUUUUUUUCACAAUAUUUAAAGACACAGAAAUACAGAUGGGAGCAAAACUACUUGCACAGUCACGUGCUGUUCACUCAGCCCAGAGCAGGAAAAAUCUAAGACUGGGGAACUGGAGUGUUACACUUCUUUUGGUUUGGGAUCUUUUGCCUUCUUUUGAAAGAGUUCUGCAAAAAAGUUCUGGUCAGAGUGCUCAAUGAAGUGUCUUACAAUGGUUCUUUUAUUUGGAAAUUUGAAGAUUGGCCUUGUUGAUAGAAGUAUUCGCUCCGUUGUUUUGUCCUCGGGGAUAAGGUGACAAUAUUACCAAGAACAGUGUCUGUAGGUGUCGGACUGUGUAAUAAUAGGAAAGACAGCACAGUUGAGAGUAAGUCUAUCGUGUUCCUAAGAUAAACUCUGAUUUUUACAAUUGCACCUUACUCCUGAUACAAAAUAAGCCAUAAGGAAAUGUCCUCAUUUCUUUAAGGGCUCUUUCCUCAGACAGUACUGCCCAGAAGUGACAGCUACGUGCAAGGCACUGCUAUUUCUGUUCCUUUUUGUUUCUUUAAUAUGGUAACUGCACAUUAUUAUUUCCUAAUUUUACUUUCUGUUUCAUAGCACCAAGGUCUCAGGAGUCAACCUGAGCAUUUUCACUACAGCUGAGCUUUCAGUGGCACAGGAGGACACUUUGUAUUUGUUUAAUUGUACACAUUUGGAGACACCAGAGUCUUCCCUGCAAGAACUGAGUGAGAUUGAUGAAGUGAGAACAUCCCAGUGUGAUCCUUAUCUCAGUGGCAAUGCUUGUUUCUGUCCAGGCCUAUGGACACUGGAUAAAUUACAGGUUUAAAGGCAACUUGGGGUUUAUCUGGGAGAGGGUCAUGAGCAGAGGCUUUAGUGUCAGGUAUAUUUAGUGUAAAAUACUGAAGCAUAGGCCUCAAAUUCUGUGACCAUCUAGGGCAGGAUAGGAAGAGUAAAUGCAUGUGCACAAAACUUCCUCCCCUUGGCUGUUGCCAACCAGCAGCAGGAAGAACAGGCCCCAGACACUCCAUCGAGAGGCCGUUGGCCUUGCCAGGAACCCGUGGAUGGGAAAAGGGCUGCCCUUUGUGUCUCAGAGCAGCAGGCAGAGUGCCCUCAGACACACAGACAGGAUUUCAGCUAAGCUGCUGCUUCAUCCUCCCAGUCAGCCUCGUGGCACUGAGGAGCUAUGGGCUCUAGGCCUACAGCAUCCUGCGUGGAAAGAAUUGAUACACAAUAUUGCUACUGCAAAAAAUUGUCAAAAUAUCAGCCCUUCUGGGCUGGCAUACUGAAACUCUAGCAGCCAG